AGUAGAGGCCUCCCUUCCGCAGAGGUGGCGCGGGCUGUUCGGCUACCCGGCGAGGUCCGCGCGCAGCCGGCCCGGCGCGCGGUUUCCCCGGCCGCUGUCUCCCGCUGCAGGCGGCGGCGCCGGGCCUCGGAGGCUUCUAAUGUGAGGAAAAACAUGGAAUGACAAGUGUGGGAAAGAGCAAGCACUAAAUUACUGUCAGAAAAAUAAACGGAGCAGCACAGUGGUGCUCCGUGAUUUACGGGGGCAAUUAGUCACCACCCCACAGCGCUGCUGAGGACGGCCUGGCAGCAGACACAUCAGCCCACGAGGAGGAAGAGGCUCUGCACUAAGCUCCAGAUGACUUUUCAAACAAGAGCGAGUCUGUGAGCACACGAGAGUCUGUGUGUUCAUUCUGGGUGUCUACCCUUCACACUCCCUACCAGCUUGAUAAAUAAACAGACUUUUCGUGC
rnacentral:lncRNA from 1 species